UAUUAUGGGGGAAGGUGGUAUUAUCUAUGGCUUGCGAGAGGUUAGAUUCUAAACGAAUAGCUACUCCACCAGUAUUAUAUUUUCAUAAUUUAAAGUUUAUUAUUUAUAAUUAUAUCUUAUAAUGUAUUAUGUGUUACGGGGAUGAUUGAGCAAGACAUGGAGAUUUUAGUUAUUUUAUACGGUUACAUAGUUCCAGCAGAUUUGACACUAUUCAUUACAUAGUACAGGUUAUUAAUUAUAAUUAGAGCCACGGAAUUUUCGCGCAUUCAUUUAGUCGCAAGCUAGAAUGCAAACUUCCACACUGUCGCACUGUGUUAAUGAUUGGACCGCAGUUAUCUGGACACGCCCCUCUACGACCGUGAGCCAAUGAUGCCCAGCUAGGGGAGAAGUAAGCGAAUCAGGUAGUGCCAAAUAACAAGGAUAAAAAGGUUCUCGCCAAGAAAUCAACCAAUGGGAAAGUAAACAUGGGUCGAGCACACCUAUAACUUUGAAUUCUAUCCUGAGGCCAGAGGAAUCCGCGAAAUUUCCAGGACUCUUAAUUAUAAUAAAGGAUACGGGGCAGUAAGGAGUUGCUAGAGUAUUGAUAUAUGAACCUCGCUGAGUUUGCGCCGUGCCCGCACCGUGGUGACUACCUGCCGGCGGAGCUGAGACGUCAGAGCGAACGGCGAACGACACGUCCCGUCCAGGGUUCGAUGCUCGGCAGCCAUCUUGCUCGGGACCACCCAGCGCCCCGACGCUCUCUGGCGCCGGGCGUCGGCGUGGCUCGACGCCUCACCUCUGGACGACGAAGGCGGCAGGCGGACCACCAGGAAUGGAUGCGGGCUGAGAUGUCUUCAAGCGACCAGGCGGCAGCUACUCCAUUCGGCGCAAACGUAGGCUCUGGCGUCGAUCCCGGGAGGUACUUGUCGGCAGCAGGUGACCAGCUCGGCCGACACCAGCGCCACAGUCACUGCUAACUCUUCCCAGGUGCACCACGCCGGUGUCGAGACACGCUCAGGCGCCCAGCCCCGCUACGGCAGCGCCUAUCCACAACGAGCACUGAAUCGUCUUGCAUCUUUCCGAGCUGGAGUGAAAACUUCUCAAGAGGAGGAGGAGGAGAAUAAGCCUGAUUAGCAGUUGGAUUCCACAAUUGGAGAUGUUGAAACACCUGAACUGUGUAAUAAAUGAAUAAAAUAACUUUUCAAACAA